rnacentral:rRNA from 1 species
AGGGUGACAGCCCCGUACACAAAAGCGUAUGUGCUGUGAGCUCGAUGAGUAGGGCGGGACACGUGGUAUCCUGUCUGAAUAUGGGGGGACCAUCCUCCAAGGCUAAAUACUCCUGACUGACCGAUAGUGAACCAGUACCGUGAGGGAAAGGCGAAAAGAACCCCGGCGAGGGGAGUGAAAAAGAACCUGAAACCGUGUACGUACAAGCAGUGGGAGCACCCUUUGGGGUGUGACUGCGUACCUUUUGUAUAAUGGGUCAGCGACUUAUAUUCUGUAGCAAGGUUAACCGAAUAGGGGAGCCGGAGGGAAACCGAGUCUUAAUUGGGCGUUAAGUUGCAGGGUAUAGACCCGAAACCCGGUGAUCUAGCCAUGGGCAGGUUGAAGGUUGGGUAACACUAACUGGAGGACCGAACCGACUAAUGUUGAAAAAUUAGCGGAUGACCUGUGGCUGGGGGUGAAAGGCCAAUCAAACCGGGAGAUAGCUGGUUCUCCCCGAAAGCUAUUUAGGUAGCGCCUCGUGAAUUCAUCUCCGGGGGUAG